rnacentral:rRNA from 1 species
CUACGGGUUGCUGCAGUAAGGAAUAUUGCGCAAUGGAGGCAACUCUGACGCAGCCAUGCCGCGUGCAGGAAGAAGGCCUUAUGGGUCGUAAACUGCUUUUAUUUAGGAAUAAACCCCCGAACGUGUUCGGGGCUGAAGGUACUAAACGAAUAAGCACCGGCUAACUCCGUGCCAGCAGCCGCGGUAAUACGGAGGGUGCAAGCGUUAUCCGGAUUUAUUGGGUUUAAAGGGUGCGCAGGCGGGCUAUUAAGUCAGUGGUGAAAUCCCGGGGCUCAACUCCGGAACUGCCAUUGAUACUGAUAGUCUUGAGUUUGGUUGAAGUGGGCGGAAUGUAGCAUGUAGCGGUGAAAUGCAUAGAUAUGCUACAGAACACCAAUCGCGAAGGCAGCUCACUAAGCCAAAACUGACGCUCAUGCACGAAAGCGUGGGGAUCAAACAGGAUUAGAUACCCCCGUAGUC